UACAUGUGGGGCAAGCGUUGUUCGGAAUUACUGGGCAUAAAGGGUGCGUAGGCGGCUUGUUAAGUCAGGGGUGAAAGUUUUCGGCCCAACCGGAAAAUUGCCUUUGAUACUGGCGAGCUCGAGUGCGUGAGGGGUAACCGGAACGAGCAGUGUAGCGGUGAAAUGCGUAGAUAUUGGGAAGAACACCGGUGGCGAAGGCGGCUCUCUGGACCGAGACUGACGCUGAGGCGCGAAAGCGUGGGGAGCAAACAGG
rnacentral:rRNA from 1 species